AUACGUAGGUGACAAGCGUUAUCCGGAUUUACUGGGCGUAAAGGGCGUGUAGGCGGUCUUGCAAGUCAGAAGUGAAAUUCCUGAGCUCAACUCGGGCGCUGCUUCUGAAACUGCAGGACUUGAGUGCUGGAGGGGAUAGCGGAAUUCCUAGUGGAGCGGUAAAAUGCGCAGAGAAUAGGAAGGACACCGGUGGCGAAGGCGGCUAACAGGACAAUAACGGACGUCGAGGCGCGAAAGCGUGGGGAGCAAACAGGAUUAUAUACCCUGGUAGUCCGCGCCGUAAACGAUGAAUACUAGGUGUAGGGGGUAUCGACUCCCUCUGUGCCGCAGUUAACACAAUAAGUAUUCCGCCUGGGGAGUACGGCCGCAAGGUUGAAACUCAAAUGAAGUGACGGUG
rnacentral:rRNA from 1 species